AGAUUUGAUCCUACAGCUACCAUAUUCUCACUACCCUCAGCUUACUGUAACGGAAACUUCUCUUUAACUCUGCAACGCCAUAGCUACUCUCUCUCUAUUGUUAAACCAAUUUAAUUCUCUCGCAACCCAUCAUCUCUCUUCCCUCUCGCAACCAAUCAUUACAAAAAAAAUAAAAAAAAAAAAAAGAAAAAAACUAGUCUCUCUUAUCUCUUCCUGCUCUCUCUCUCUCUCUCUCUCUCUCUCAUCACAAUGAAAAUCAUAAAAAAAAGAAGAAAAAAUUAGUCUCUCUUCCAUCUCCUCUUUCUUCAAUGGCUAUGGAUGUUACGAUCCCAUCUCUCUCUCUCAAUCAGAAAGAACGAUCUCUUCCCUUCUUUCGUGAGAGGUGGUUCGUCCAGAAAUCACUGCAUCAGACCGAUGUCGUCGGAAUGGGAAGGUGACGGCGCUGCAAUCGUAAAACAGAGAGGAAAAGCGAGAUUUGGUCCUCUCUUGAAACCCCAAAUUAUUAUUAUAUACCUUGGUUGGGUUCACUUCAGGUUCGAUUCAAUCUGAACCGCACAAUUCUUGAUUUGCUAUUGGUUUUAAUGGGGCUUUGAGUUUGCAAAAUUCAACUCAGCACAGUUGUCGUCCUAAUAAUUGUAUAUCCGGCUUGUCACGUGAGCCAGAGACAUCCGAUUGAUUUUUUUUUUUUUAUUGAGACAUUAAAAUAGAAAGUUUUCGAAAAUUUAAAUAUUAAAGAUAUAAUUAUCCCAAUAAAAUUAACUAAAAUUCUCAAUGUAG
rnacentral:lncRNA from 1 species